rnacentral:rRNA from 1 species
CCCUUAGAUGUUCUGGGCCGCACGCGCGCUACACUGAUGCAUUCAACGAGCCUAUCCUUGACCGACAGGUCCGGGUAAUCUUUGAAUCUGCAUCGUGACGGGGAUAGAUUAUUGCAAUUAUUAAUCUUCAACGAGGAAUGCCUAGUAGGCGCAAGUCAUCAGCUUGCGUCGAUUACGUCCCUGCCCUUUGUACACACCGCCCGUCGCUACUACCGAUUGAAUGGUUUAGUGAGGACUCCUGAUUGGCGCCGCCGCCCCGGCAACGGAGCAGUGGACUGCCGAAAAGUUGUUCAAACUUGAUCAUUUAGAGGAAGUAAAAGUCGUAACA